GACAGAGGGUGCAAACGUUGUUCGGAAUUACUGGGCGUAAAGCGCGUGUAGGCGGCUAAGUAAGUCGGGCGUGAAAUCCCACGGCUCAACCGUGGAAGUGCACUCGAAACUGCAUAGCUAGAGUCCUGGAGAGGAAGGUGGAAUGCUUGGUGUAGAGGUGAAAUUCGUAGAUAUCAAGCGGAACACCGGUGGCGAAGGCGGC
rnacentral:rRNA from 1 species